rnacentral:misc_RNA from 1 species
UCCGGUUUGUCACCGGCAGUCUCGUAUGAGUCCCCAACUAAAUGCUGGCAACAUACGACGGGGGUUGCGCUCGUUGCGGGACUUAACCCAACGUCUCACGACACGAGCUGACGACAGCCAUGCAGCACCUGUGUCCACGCCCCUUGCGGGGAGGAACCCGUCUCCGGGAACCGUCGUGGCAUGUCAAGGGCUGGUAAGGUUCUGCGCGUUGCUUCGAAUUAAACCACAUGCUCCACCGCUUGUGCAGGCCCCCGUCAAUUUCUUUGAGUUUUAAUCUUGCGACCGUACUUCCCAGGCGGCGUAUUUAUCGCGUUUGCUACGCCACAAAAGGGGUCGAUUCCUUUUACAGCAAAUACGCACCGUUUACAGCUAGGACUAC